AUGUCUGUUUGUCUUCUUCAUGGACUCGUUCUUCUUCCUUGUGGGAUCUCGGGCAAGAUGACCAUACCCUCGAAAUCACUUAUAUCUUUGCUUGCUAGUUGUUCGCUCUUUUUCUAUGUCGCGAUACCUACCACUUGCUAUAUCAUGCCUCCCAUAUUGCCAUGUCAAGCCUCUAACCCAGCUUGCCUAGCAAACCGUUGUUUGGCUAUGUUACCGCUUUGCUCAGCCCCUCUUAUAGCGUUGCUAGUUGCAGGUGAAGAUGGAGUUUGUUCCAUGUUGGAACAUGGUUAUUGUUGGGAUAUCACAAUAUAUCUUACUUACUUAAUGCAUCUAUAUACUUGGUAA
rnacentral:rRNA from 1 species